rnacentral:rRNA from 1 species
AGUUUGAUCCUGGCUCAGAUUGAACGCUGGCGGCAUGCCUUACACAUGCAAGUCGAACGGCAGCGCGGGGCAACCUGGCGGCGAGUGGCGAACGGGUGAGUAAUAUAUCGGAACAUACCCUAGAGUGGGGGAUAACGUAGCGAAAGUUACGCUAAUACCGCAUACGCACUAAGGUGGAAAGUGGGGGAUUCGCAAGAACCUCAUGCUCAUGGAGUGGCCGAUAUCUGAUUAGCUAGUUGGUGAGGUAAAGGCUCACCAAGGCGACGAUCAGUAGCUGGUUUGAGAGAACGACCAGCCACACUGGAACUGAGACACGGUCCAGACUCCUACGGGAGGCAGCAGUGGGGAAUUUUGGACAAUGGGGGCAACCCUGAUCCAGCAAUGCCGCGUGAGUGAAGAAGGCCUUCGGGUUGUAAAGCUCUUUUGUCAGGGAAGAAACGGUGAGUUCUAAUAAAGCUUGCUAAUGACGGUACCUGAAGAAUAAGCACCGGCUAACUACGUGCCAGCAGCCGCGGUAAUACGUAGGGUGCAAGCGUUAAUCGGAAUUACUGGGCGUAAAGCGUGCGCAGGCGGUUAUAUAAGUCAGAUGUGAAAUCCCUGGGCUCAACCUAGGAACUGCAUUUGAGACUGUAUGGCUAGGGUGUGUCAGAGGGGGGUAGAAUUCCACGUGUAGCAGUGAAAUGCGUAGAUAUGUGGAGGAAUACCGAUGGCGAAGGCAGCCCCCUGGGAUAACACUGACGCUCAUGCACGAAAGCGUGGGGAGCAAACAGGAUUAGAUACCCUGGUAGUCCACGCCCUAAACGAUGUCUACUAGUUGUCGGGUCUUAAUUGACUUGGUAACGCAGCUAACGCGUGAAGUAGACCGCCUGGGGAGUACGGUCGCAAGAUUAAAAC